rnacentral:rRNA from 1 species
UACGUAGGGUGCGAGCGUUGUCCGGAAUUAUUGGGCGUAAAGAGCUCGUAGGCGGUCUGUCGCGUCGAAUGUGAAAACCCGGGGCUCAACUCCGGGCUUGCAUUCGAUACGGGCAGGCUAGAGUUCGGUAGGGGAGUCUGGAAUUCCUGGUGUAGCGGUGAAAUGCGCAGAUAUCAGGAGGAACACCGGUGGCGAAGGCGGGACUCUGGGCCGAUACUGACGCUGAGGAGCGAAAGCUAGGGGAGCAAACGGG